rnacentral:rRNA from 1 species
UACGGAGGGUGCGAGCGUUGUCCGGAAUCACUGGGCGUAAAGGGCGCGUAGGUGGCCUGUGGAAGUCUGCGGUGAAAGCCCGGCGCUCAACGCCGGGUCGGCCGUGGAUACUCACGGGCUCGAGCUUACUAGAGGCAGAUGGAAUUCCGGGUGUAGCGGUGGAAUGCGUAGAGAUCCGGAAGAACACCGGUGGCGAAGGCGGCUCUCUGGGCCUUACCUGACGCUGAGGAGCGAAAGCGUGGGUAGCGAACAGG